GGCCCGGAUCGUAGUGCGCUGUCCAGAUCUUCACGCUACACCCGCGCGCCUGCAGCGCCAGCGCCGCGUCCAGUACCAGCCGCUCGGCGCCGCCCACACCCAGGGAUUAGACUCUAGGAAGGCCGUUGUGACCCAAAGGAAGGAGACUGGAGGUUUCUACUUCCCACAGAGCGGGUAACUAAGUUGUGUGUAGCAGACUAUCUACAGGCAUGUCGUGAGACAACACAGGCGUCCCUGGAGUCAGCGAGGACCUUGCCUGCAAGUCCAGGGGCGGGGCCUGAGCCAGCCUAGCCAGCUGCCGGUCCUACCAGGGCUCCCCAACUUUCUUUCCGUCCGCAUCAGCAACUUGACACUCUCAUCUCCAGCAUGCCUGGUCCGACCCCCAGUGGCACUAACGUGGGAUCCUCAGGGCGCUCCCCCAGCAAAGCGGUGGCUGCCCGGGCGGCAGGAUCCACUGUUCGGCAGAGGAAGAACGCCAGCUGUGGAACAAGGAGCGCAGGCCGCACGACCUCGGCAGGCACCGGGGGGAUGUGGCGAUUCUACACAGAGGAUUCACCUGGGCUCAAAGUUGGCCCUGUUCCAGUAUUGGUUAUGAGUCUUCUGUUCAUCGCUUCUGUAUUUAUGUUGCACAUUUGGGGCAAGUACACUCGUUCGUAGAUUCAGUUACAUCCAUCUGUCAUCUGAAGAAGGAGGAAAAAACUUAACAUAUCUUGGACCAAAAGUAUAGUGACUAUCUUUUCAUGUGAAAAAAUUUCUGUAAGCUUGUUUUACAGGGGAUUUAUCCAUAAUUGAUUUUGAGGAACCAUUUUUUUCUAUGGCUAAUAAACUUAAGUUCACUUA